CCUACGGGUGGCUGCAGUAGGGAAUAUUGCUCAAUGGGGGAAACCCUGAAGCAGCAACGCCGCGUGGAGGAUGAAGGUUUUCGGAUUGUAAACUCCUUUUGUUAGAGAAGAUAAUGACGGUAUCUAACGAAUAAGCACCGGCUAACUCCGUGCCAGCAGUCGCAGUAAUACGGAGGGUGCAAGCGUUAAUCGGAAUCACUGGGCGUAAAGAGCGCGGAAGCGGGAUAGCAAGUCAGAUAUGAAAUCCUAUGGCUUAACCAUAGAACUGCAUUUGAAACUGGCAUUCUAGAGUCUGGGAGAGGUAGGUGGAAUUCUAGGUGUAGGGGUAAAAUCCGUAGAGAUCAAGAAGAAUACUCAAUGCGAAGGCGACCUGCUAGAACAUAACUGACGCUGAUGCGCGAAAGCGUGGGGAGCAAACAGGAUUAGAUACCCUGGUAGUC
rnacentral:rRNA from 1 species